UACGGAGGAUGCGAGCGUUAUCCGGAUUUAUUGGGUUUAAAGGGUGCGUAGGCGGGCUUUUAAGUCAGCGGUAAAAAUUCGGGGCUCAACCCCGUCCGGCCGUUGAAACUGGGGGCCUCGAGUGGGCGAGAAGAAGGCGGAAUGCGUGGUGUAGCGGUGAAAUGCAUAGAUAUCACGCAGAACCCCGAUUGCGAAGGCAGCCUUCCGGCGCCCUACUGACGCUGAGGCACGAAAGUGCGGGGAUCGAACAGG
rnacentral:rRNA from 1 species